rnacentral:rRNA from 1 species
GAUGAACGCUGGCGGCGUGCCUAAUACAUGCAAGUCGAGCGAACGGACGAGAAGCUUGCUUCUCUGUUGCUAGCGGCGGACGGGUGAGUAACACGUGGAUAACCUACCUAUAAGACUGGGAUAACUUCGGGAAACCGGAGCUAAUACCGGAUAAUAUUUUGAACCGCAUGGUUCAAAAGUGAAAGACGGUCUUGCUGUCACUUAUAGAUGGAUCCGCGCUGCAUUAGCUAGUUGGUAAGGUAACGGCUUACCAAGGCAACGAUGCAUAGCCGACCUGAGAGGGUGAUCGGCCACACUGGAACUGAGACACGGUCCAGACUCCUACGGGAGGCAGCAGUAGGGAAUCUUCCGCAAUGGGCGAAAGCCUGACGGAGCAACGCCGCGUGAGUGAUGAAGGUCUUCGGAUCGUAAAACUCUGUUAUUAGGGAAGAACAUAUGUGUAAGUAACUGUGCACAUCUUGACGGUACCUAAUCAGAAAGCCACGGCUAACUACGUG